GGCUGGUUAGCUCAACUAGUUAGAGCGUGGUGCUAAUAACACCAAGGUCAUGGGUUCAAUUCCCAUACUAGCCA
rnacentral:tRNA from 1 species